AGAUUGGGACACACAAGAUCACCAAUAGAUCUUAACCUCCCUCUAUAUAAGAAACCUACCCCUCUCAUUAUUCUGGCCUGCAUAUUAAUUUACACACAUACAAAUUCUAAACAGCCUCUCAUUUUCACUCUCAUCCUCUCUCGGUCACACUCACUGAGCAAAUAAACACAGGGACCUCAUGUCCUCAAAUACUCAAGCAAACAAGAACCUGCUCUACUCUCAUCUCUCUUCUCCGGCUUCGGCUCUGGCAACCGGAGUGACGCCAUCUACCGGGUUCUAUUUCUAUCCUCUAUAACACCCACACCCCCUUUCUGUUAUAUACCCCCCCCCCCUCGACAGAUCAAGUAACGACCACCACCAUCGGGUGGUGGUAAGUGUUGAGCACUGAAACAAGAAGAGAGAGAGGAGAGAAUCGAGAGAGAGAAAGAGAAAGAAGGCGGAGAAGGGAGCGGCGCCGCCGCUCACGGCGGCGGCAAUGGAGGAGGCGGCGGGACGAUGGGUUUACCGGAGAUAACCAGAGAGAGAGAGAGAGGGAGAACCGGCGGUCAAAGGCUCGGACCGCCGGUCGGUUCGUUUAUCCGGUGGUCAGCAGGAUAUCCGGUGGGUUUCGCGGCAGCCGUUUCCACCCGACAGAAGCUCCGAAGUCAACGGCUGGUCAACCUUCGGUUCGGGUUCUCGGUCAAGUUCGAGUCCAGAUCAGACACAAGUUCGAGCGUUUGGUUCAUGCUCGGGAGUCUCGGGUCAGAAUUUCGGGUUCAACAUCAAGCGUUGGAGUGGGUAUCAAUUCAAGUCUCGUUUCAGUUCAAGAGAUGAACUCGGUUUAGUUCAGAUUUGCGAUUCAGAUUAUGUUUCGUUUCAGGUCAACGUUAGUCAGCAGGUUCAGUUGACUCGGUCAAACCCGAGUCAACUCGGUCAACACAGUCAAACCGAGUCAACUGAGUUGACUCGGUCAGUUCAGUUAAGCGGCUCGACUUUUCGGCGUAAUGACUUGGUAAAGAUUAACGACACGAUUGCUUUGUUAUUUUUAUAGUUUUAUAUAUACGCGAAAACGAGCUUGAACCGAAUAAAAUCGACGAAAUCAUUAGUUAAAAAUACUCGAAUUAUUA